rnacentral:RNase_P_RNA from 1 species
AAAAGGUGGGGUAAGAGCCCACCGGACGCGGCGGCAACGCCGCGUGCCUGGCAUACCCCGUCAGGAGCAAGACCAAAUAGGAAAGGCGGCCGGCCCGGCCGUGUGCCUUUCGGGUAGGUUGCUUGAGCGUGCGGGCAACCGCACGCCUAGAGGAAUGGCGGUCCUCGACAGAACCCGGCUUACAGUCCGGCUCCUGCU